rnacentral:rRNA from 1 species
CGCAACGACCGUACCGCAAACCGACACUGGUGCGCGAGAUGAGUAUUCUAAGGCGCUUGAGAGAACUCAGGAGAAGGAACUCGGCAAAUUGACACCGUAACUUCGGAAGAAGGUGUGCCCUAUUAGUGUGAAGUGAACAACGGAGCAUGAAUGGGUUGCAAAAAAUCGGUGGCUGCGACUGUUUAUUAAAAACACAGCACUCUGCAAACACGAAAGUGGACGUAUAGGGUGUGACGCCUGCCCGGUGCUGGAAGAUUAAAUGAUGGGGUGCAAGCUCUUGAUUGAAGUCCCAGUAAACGGCGGCCGUAACUAUAACGGUCCUAAGGUAGCGAAAUUCCUUGUCGGGUAAGUUCCGACCUGCACGAAUGGCGUAACGAUGGCCACACUGUCUCCUCCUGAGACUCAGCGAAGUUGAAAUGUUUGUGAUGAUGCAAUCUCCCCGCGGAAAGACGGAAAGACCCCAUGAACCUUUACUGUAGCUUUGUAUUGGACUUUGAACAGAUCUGUGUAGGAUAGGUGGGAGGCUUUGAAGCAGGGUCGCUAGAUCUUGUGGAGCCAACGUUGAAAUACCACCCUGGUGUGUUUGAGGUUCUAACCUAGGUCCAUUAUCUGGAUCGGGGACAGUGCAUGGUAGGCAGUUUGACUGGGGCGGUCUCCUCCCAAAGCGUAACGGAGGAGUUCGAAGGUACGCUAGUUACGGUCGGACAUCGUGACGAUAGUGCAAUGGCAUAAGCGUGCUUAACUGCGAGACUGACAAGUCGAGCAGAUGCGAAAGCAGGACAUAGUGAUCCGGUGGUUCUGUAUGGAAGGGCCAUCGCUCAACGGAUAAAAGGUACUCUGGGGAUAACAGGCUGAUACCGCCCAAGAGUUCAUAUCGACGGCGGUGUUUGGCACCUCGAUGUCGGCUCAUCUCAUCCUGGGGCUGUAGCCGGUCCCAAGGGUAUGGCUGUUCGCCAUUUAAAGAGGUACGUGAGCUGGGUUUAAAACGUCGUGAGACAGUUUGGUCCCUAUCUUCCGUGGGCGCUGCAGAUUUGAGGAAGCCUGCUCCUAGUACGAGAGGACCGGAGUGGACACACCUCUGGUGUAUCGGUUGUCACGCCAGUGGCAUUGCCGAGUAGCUAAGUGUGGAAGAGAUAACCGCUGAAAGCAUCUAAGCGGGAAACUCGUUUCAAGAUGAGAUCUGCCGGGGCCUUGAGCCCCCUGAAGAGUCGUUCAAGACCAGGACGUUGAUAGGUCAGGUGUGGAAGCGCAGUAAUGCGUUAAGCUAACUGAUACUAAUUGCUCGUGCGGCUUGACCAA